AGAUUUUAAGCCAUGCGAGUCAUUGUAGCAAUACAAGGCAGACGGCUCAGUAACGCGUAGUCAAUCUACCCUAUGGACGGGAAUAAUCUCGGGAAACUGAGAAUAAUGCCCGAUAGAACAUUAUGCCUGGAAUGGUUUAUGUUUCAAAUGAUUUAUCGCCAUAGGAUGGGACUGCGGCCUAUCAGUUUGUUGGUGAGGUAAUGGCCCACCAAGACUAUUACAGGUACGGGCUCUGAGAGGAGUGGCCCGGAGAUGGGUACUGAGACACGGACCCAGGCCCUAUGGGGCGCAGCAGGCGAGAAAACUUUGCAAUGUGCGAAAGCACGACAAGGUUAAUCCGAGUGGUUUCUGCUAAAGAAACCUUUUGUCAGUCCUAGAAACACUGACGAAUAAGGGGUGGGCAAGUUCUGGUGUCAGCCGCCGCGGUAAAACCAGCACCUCAAGUGGUCAGGAUGAUUAUUGGGCCUAAAGCAUCCGUAGCUCGUUUUGUAAGUUUUCGGUUAAAUCCAUGCGCUUAACGUAUGGGCUGCCGGGAAUACUGCAUAACUAGGAAGUGGGAGAGGUAGACGGUACUCGGUAGGAAGGGGUAAAAUCCUUUGAUCUAUUGAUGACCACCUGUGGCGAAGGCGGUCUACCAGAACACGUUCGACGGUGAGGGAUGAAAGCUGGGGGAGCAAACCGGAUUAGAUACCCGGGUAGUCCCAGCUGUAAACUAUGCAAACUCAGUGAUGCAUUGGCUUGUGGCCAAUGCAGUGCUGCAGGGAAGCCGUUAAGUUUGCCGCCUGGGAAGUACGUACGCAAGUAUGAAACUUAAAGGAAUUGGCGGGGGAGCACCACAAGGGGUGAAGCCUGCGGUUCAAUUGGAGUCAACGCCAGAAAUCUUACCCGGAGAGACAGCAGAAUGAAGGUCAAGCUGAAGACUUUACCAGACAAGCUGAGAGGUGGUGCAUGGCC
rnacentral:rRNA from 1 species